rfam:Pseudoxanthomonas spadix BD-a59, complete genome.
GACAAGCGGAGCGCGAGGUGGGUGAGAACCGCCGAGUGGUUCGACAGAAGUCCCGAAGGGGCUUCUGAACGCACCGGAGGUGCGGCCCGGAGGGCGAGGGACGAAGUCCCGAGUCAUCCACCUCCCUCCACCA